rnacentral:rRNA from 1 species
CCUACGGGAGGCAGCAGUAGGGAAUCUUCCGCAAUGGACGAAAGUCUGACGGAGCAACGCCGCGUGAGCGAUGAAGGCCUUCGGGUCGUAAAGCUCUGUUGUUAGGGAAGAACAAGUACCGUUCAAAUAGGGCGGUACCUUGACGGUACCUAACCAGAAAGCCACGGCUAACUACGUGCCAGCAGCCGCGGUAAUACGUAGGUGGCAAGCGUUAUCCGGAAUUAUUGGGCGUAAAGCGCGCGCAGGCGGUCCUUUAAGUCUGAUGUGAAAGCCCACGGCUCAACCGUGGAGGGUCAUUGGAAACUGGGGGACUUGAGUGCAGAAGAGGAGAGCGGAAUUCCACGUGUAGCGGUGAAAUGCGUAGAGAUGUGGAGGAACACCAGUGGCAAAGGCGGCUCUCUGGUCUGUAACUGACGCUGAGGCGCGAAAGCGUGGGGAGCGAACAGGAUUAGAUACCCUGGUAGUCCACGCCGUAAACGAUGAGUGCUAAGUGUUAGAGGGUUUCCGCCCUUUAGUGCUGCAGCAAACGCAUUAAGCACUCCGCCUGGGGAGUACGGUCGCAAGACUGAAACUCAAAUGAAUUGACGGGG